GAUGCCUUUUACUUCAGCUCUAUUUUAUGGGAACGAGUACAAUUUCAAGACUUCCUUACGAGCUGGGGGUUUCCUGUCCACACACUCAUUUCAGUGGUUUAAGCUGGCCUUGUCAUAAAUGAUGCAAAAGUAUAUAUGUGUCCGAAACUUGAGUGUCCCUCCUUUUCUUUCAAUAGAUCAAGAACUCGAAGUUCGAAGAACCUGUUCAGGAAGAAAGUACAGAGCAAGUAUAAACAAACGAAGAUAGCAAAGAACAAGAUGAAGUAUAAGAGACUUUUUCUUUACUAUUUUAGGAGUGCUUUGGAGAUGAUCCCAUUUGUACAUGCUACUAUUUUUCUUUUUCUUCUUUUUUUAGGAGUUGACAGAUACAAUAUCAUACAAUUUGGAUAGAUAUAUUUUACGUAAUUUGAUCUUUUAGCUUUUUGUAAUUAGUUUUGCAACUUUAUAUAUUGAUUAUUUUGUAUGUUUUGAUUACUAUUUAGUUUUUAUAUUGUUGUUUGGUGGUUGUUGUAAGAUAACAGAUCUAUGAAAUAUAAAGGCAUUCAACGA